CAGCUCUAUGCGGUGGAUCACUCGGCUCGUGCGUCGAUGAAGAGCGCAGCUAGCUGCGAUAAUUAAUGUGAAUUGCAGGACACACUGAACAUCGACAUCUUGAACGCAUAUUGCGGCCUCGGCUCAAUGCCGAAGCCCCGCCUGUCCGAGGGUAGGC
rnacentral:rRNA from 1 species